CCAACGGCCCUCUUUAGGGCCACAACUUUUCCGAGUACUUUGAGG
rfam:Necator americanus N_americanus-1.0_Cont360.36, whole genome shotgun sequence.